AAACUUUCAACAACGGAUCUCUUGGCUCUGGCAUCGAUGAAGAACGCAGCGAAAUGCGAUACGUAAUGCGAAUUGCAGAAUUCAGCGAGUCAUCGAAUCUUUGAACGCACAUUGCGCCCGCCAGCAUUCUGGCGGGCAUGCCUGUCCGAG
rnacentral:rRNA from 1 species